GUUCAGUGAUGUCUUAACAAAUGUCUGACCUGAACUUAAAUGUGGACCACUUCUGUUACUGAGUAA